GAUGAACGCUGACAGAAUGCUUAACACAUGCAAGUCAACUUGAACUUCGGUUUGGGUGGCGGACGGGUGAGUAACGCGUAAAGAACUUGCCUCACAGCUAGGGACAACAUUUGGAAACGAAUGCUAAUACCUGAUAUUAUGAUUAUAUGGCAUCGUAUAAUUAUGAAAGCUAUAUGCGCUGUGAGAGAGCUUUGCGUCCCAUUAGCUAGUUGGAGAGGUAACAGCUCACCAAGGCGAUGAUGGGUAGCCGGCCUGAGAGGGUGAUCGGCCACAAGGGGACUGAGACACGGCCCUUACUCCUACGGGAGGCAGCAGUGGGGAAUAUUGGACAAUGGACCGAGAGUCUGAUCCAGCAAUUCUGUGUGCACGAUGAAGUUUCUCGGAAUGUAAAGUGCUUUCAGUUGGGAAGAAAAAAAUGACGGUACCAACAGAAGAAGUGACGGCUAAAUACGUG
rnacentral:rRNA from 1 species